rnacentral:RNase_P_RNA from 1 species
GAGGAAAGUCCGGGCUCUAUUUAUAAAUAUAUAGCUUUAUAAAAUAAAGUAUAGGUAACUAUAAGGAUCGUGCCACAGAAAUAUACCGCCUAAUGUUUAAAGGUAAGGGUGCAAUGGUUCGGUAAGAGCGUACCAGAGAUAUUGUUAAAGUAUUUGCUAGGUAAACCCCGUAUUAGAGCAAAGAGUUUAUCAAAAUAUAUUACUACUAUUUUUAUAAAUUAUGUAUAUUUUUUGUUUCAUUAAUACUGCAUAAAGUAUUGAAUUUGACUUAAGAUUAAUAAUUACCCUUUUCAUAUAAAUCUAAUUAAAUUAGUUGAUUGAAAAGAACUAAACCCGGCUUAU